rnacentral:rRNA from 1 species
CACGGAGAGUUUGAUCCUGGCUCAGAACUAACGCUAGUGGCGUGUCUUAGUCAUGCAAGUCGAGCGAGAAAGUCUUCUUCGGAAGGCGAGUAGAGCGGCGGACGGGUGAGUAACACGUGGGUAAUCUUCCUUUGAGUUGGGGAUAACAUUCCUAACGGGAUGCUAAUACCGAAUGUGGAGUGGUGUUUUCGGACGCCAUUCCAAAGGCGGCCUCUGCUUGCAUGCUGUCGCUCGAAGAUGAGCCCGCGUCCUAUUAGCUUGUUGGUGAGGUAACGGCUCACCAAGGCAACGAUGGGUAGCCGGCCUGAGAGGGUGAGCGGCCACACUGGCACUGAGACAAGGGCCAGUCCCCUACGGGGGCCAGCAGUCUAGAAAUUUGCACAAUCGUCGAAAGACGGAUGCAGCGACGCCACGUGGAGG